CAGCUAGUUGGUAAGGUAACGGCUUACCAAGGCUACGAUGGGUAGGGGUCCUGAGAGGGAGAUCCCCCACACUGGUACUGAGACACGGACCAGACUCCUACGGGAGGCAGCAGUGAGGAAUAUUGGACAAUGGGCGCAAGCCUGAUCCAGCCAUGCCGCGUGCAGGAUGACGGUCCUAUGGAUUGUAAACUGCUUUUAUACGAGAAGAAACACUACUUCGUGAAGUAGCUUGACGGUAUCGUAAGAAUAAGGAUCGGCUAACUCCGUGCCAGCAGCCGCGGUAAUACGGAGGAUCCAAGCGUUAUCCGGAAUCAUUGGGUUUAAAGGGUCCGUAGGCGGUUUAAUAAGUCAGUGGUGAAAGCCCAUCGCUCAACGGUGGAACGGCCAUUGAUACUGUUAAACUUGAAUUAUUAGAAGUAACUAGAAUAUGUAGUGUAGCGGUGAAAUGCUUAGAGAUUACAUGGGAAUACCAAUUGCGAAGGCAGGUUACUACU
rnacentral:rRNA from 1 species